rnacentral:rRNA from 1 species
AGGGCACCACCAGGAGUGGAGCCUGCGGCUUAAUUUGACUCAACACGGGGAAACUUACCCGGCCUGGACACUGGAAGGAUUGACAGAUUGAGAGCUCUUUCUUGAUUCAGUGGGUGGUGGUGCAUGGCCGUUCUUAGUUGGUGGAGCGAUUUGUCUGGUUAAUUCCGAUAACGAACGAGACUCUAGCCUAUUAAAUAGGCUCCCGGCUUUUAAACGCCGGGAGGACUUCUUAGAGGGACAGGUGGCGGUUCAGCCGCACGAAAGAGAGCAAUAACAGGUCUGUGAUGCCCUUUGUUGUCCGGGGCCGCACGCGCGCUACACUGAAGAGAUCAGCGUGCUUUAUGUUCCUGCUCCGACCGGAGUGGGGAACCCGGUGAACCUUCUUCGUGAUUGGGAUAGAAGAUUGUGAUUAUUCUUCUUGAACGAGGAAUUCCCAGUAAAUGCGAGUCAUAAGCUCGCGUUGAUUACGUCCCUGCCCUUUGUACACACCGCCCGUCGCUACUACCGAUUGAACGAUUU